AACGAUAAAGGCAAACCUAUUGAAAGAUCGGGACGCAAAGCCACGGGCCUAAAGCAAUUUGCUAUGGUAGCCGGGUUACCGAA
rnacentral:ncRNA from 1 species